rnacentral:lncRNA from 1 species
GGGGGGGGGGAGGGGGAGGGGGGGGGGGAGGGAAGGAGAAGAGCCAAGCUGUUCAGAAGACAAGGAAAAGUUAUGUGACUCCUGAUGAAAUAUUCAUACACCAGGCUGGAGAUCUCAGAAGAGGGUGGAUUGCCACUCUGUUGAAGGUCUCUUUAACCAGAGACAUUCUGUAUUGGAAAGACAGGAACACAGUGAUAAUGUUUUCCCCUCCCUCCCCAUGCCCGUCCUCCACCCACCUUGCUAUCAUUUGUUUCAGAUUAAAAAGCACGGAGCGGCAUGAAGCAACGUGAAAAAAAGCUUGUCUCUGC